GAGAACCAAGAUAUCCAUUGUUAACAGUUGUUCGGUUUUUUUACCCAAUGUAUUACAUUGAGCUUCACAUUAAACUGUGGGGUUAUUAGGGGGCAUGGGGACCCUUUGGCAAAGCUCCUGUCCGAGUGUACGGUCUACAGGAAUCGUGGAAGCGCUAUCCUUGCACAAUCAAUGACACUUUCCGACACUGACUGCUUGGGGAAACAGGUUUCCGUAGGUGAACCUGCGGAAGGAUCAUUAACACGUAUCCAAACGUUAAAACCCCCCCCGUGAACCUUCAUCCUACCCGCGUAGUUCGCAAUCUCUGAUAAAUCAUAGCCCGGAAAGUUGUAGUGAUUCAGAGACCUCUGGCUACGUGCGAACAUUGGAACAGUUACAAUCGAGCGGUAGUUCUAUAGGCAAUUUGUUACGACUU
rnacentral:misc_RNA from 1 species